CCUACGGGUGGCUGCAGUGGGGAAUAUUGCACAAUGGGGGAAACCCUGAUGCAGCGACGCCGCGUGAGUGAAGAAGUAUUUCGGUAUGUAAAGCUCUAUCAGCAGGGAAGAAAAUGACGGUACCCGAUUAAGAAGCCCCGGCAAACUACGUGCCAGCAGCCGCGGUAAUAGGUAGGGGGCAAGCGUUAUCAGGAUUUACUGGGUGGAAAGGGAGCGUAGACGGCAGCACAAGUCUGGAGUGAAAUGCCGGGGCUUAACCCCGGAACUGCUUUGGAAACUGGGCAGCUAGAGUGCGGGAGAGGUAAGUGGAAUUCCUGGUGUAGCGGUGAAAUGCGUAGAUAUUAGGAGGAACACCAGUGGCGAAGGCGACUUUCUGGACUGUACCUGACGCUGAGGCGCGAAAGCGUGGGUAGCGAACGGGAUUAGAUACCCCAGUAGUC
rnacentral:rRNA from 1 species